GAGAGAAUAUUUUUUUAAAAAAUUUUAUGACCACUUUGCUAUCAAUAGAUCUACAAGGAAUAGCUUCUACCCACUUUGAGACAUAGUCGACAACUAUUAAGAUGUAUUCAUUACCAAAUAAGUUUGAAAAUAGACCCAUAAAAUUAAUCCCCCACACAUCAAAAAUUUCAACCAUCAAGAUUGGGUUGAGAGGCAUCAUGUUUCUCUUGGUAAUUCAUCCCAUU
rnacentral:lncRNA from 1 species